AGCGAGCGCAGGCGGUUUCUUAAGUCUGAUGUGAAAGCCCCCGGCUCAACCGGGGAGGGUCAUUGGAAACUGGGAGACUUGAGUGCAGAAGAGGAGAGUGGAAUUCCAUGUGUAGCGGUGAAAUGCGUAGAUAUAUGGAGGAACACCAGUGGCGAAGGCGGCUCUCUGGUCUGUAACUGACGCUGAGGCUCGAAAGCGUGGGGAGCGAACAGGAUUAGAUACCCUGGUAGUCCACGCCGUAAACGAUGAGUGCUAAGUGUUGGAGGGUUUCCGCCCUUCAGUGCUGCAGCAAACGCAUUAAGCACUCCGCCUGGGGAGUACGACCGCAAGGUUGAAACUCAAAGGAAUUGACGGGGGCCCGCACAAGCGGUGGAGCAUGUGGUUUAAUUCGAAGCAACGCGAAGAACCUUACCAGGUCUUGACAUCCUUUGACCACUCUAGAGAUAGAGCUUCCCCUUCGGGGGCAAAGUGACAGGUGGUGCAUGGUUGUCGUCAGCUCGUGUCGUGAGAUGUUGGGUUAAGUCCCGCAACGAGCGCAACCCUUAUUGUUAGUUGCCAUCAUUUAGUUGGGCACUCUAGCGAGACUGCCGGUGACAAACCGGAGGAAGGUGGGGAUGACGUCAAAUCAUCAUGCCCCUUAUGACCUGGGCUACACACGUGCUACAAUGGGAAGUACAACGAGUUGCGAAGUCGCGAGGCUAAGCUAAUCUCUUAAAGCUUCUCUCAGUUCGGAUUGUAGGCUGCAACUCGCCUACAUGAAGCCGGAAUCGCUAGUAAUCGCGGAUCAGCACGCCGCGGUGAAUACGUUCCCGGG
rnacentral:rRNA from 1 species